rfam:Eimeria mitis, Houghton, WGS project CBTT01000000 data, contig: Emh_scaff9007_1
GCGAGCAUGGUCUAGUGGCUAUGACGUCUGCCUUACACGCAGAAGAUCCCGGGUUCAAUCCCCGGUGCUCGUA